rnacentral:rRNA from 1 species
UAUCAGCCUUUUGGGCAUGAUUCUGUGGAGCGUGAGGAGUUAAACGCCUUCAUGCCUGCAUAUUCGUGUACUUUGGGUGUACUUGCCUGUGUGGUUAGUUAACAUCAAUUUUGGUUAUCAUAAAAUGGUUGGAGGAAUGUAGCUUCGAUUUCGAUUGAAGUGUUAUAGCCUUCGGCAGAUGUGAUGAUCGGGAUUGAGGAUUGCAACGGAUACCCUUCGGGGCUACCUGCCUGGUCUCUGAUCGUUGCUUUGGUGCCGAAAGCGUGCUUACGGUUAUCAAAGUCGAUGGUCAAUAGGUUAGAACGGGUUAAAUUCGUUAAGGAUGUUGACGUA